rnacentral:lncRNA from 1 species
CAAAAAUUUUAUGACUUCGAGGGGGAUACCUAUUGUUUUGAAGAGCUGUCGGGAUCAGUUACAACAAUGUAAUAAGAAAUGGGGAUUUCCAAUAAAAAAAAGUUGAUCUUUAUAUGACCUUGGAACCACCCAAGAUCAAAUUAAUGGAUAUAUUGUCAAUAAGUGGAAGAAGUGCGCAAAUAGUAUCUAAUAUGGGAUGUCUGAAAUAAUCAUCAUCAAGAAAACGUAGAUCUCGAGAAAAUAAAGACCAAGUAGAUAUUUCUAUAUUAACAGAAACAAAGAGAUCAUGGUUUAUAUCUUUGUGAAUGAACAUAUCUUUCAAGCACAGGAAAUAAAAUAUUCUCCAUGACAUGCAAUUCUCCUGUGUAUUAUAUAGUUCAUUAGACAAUUCAUGUAAUAAAGCAUUGACAUGACAAUUCGCAUAAUAAAGAGUUGAUGUAACGAAAGCAAA